CUGGAGGCAGGAAGGGAGGAAAAUCUGAAUCUAUAACCUUUCUUUUUAUAUAAACUAGACUCAUAAGUUUUCUUUAUUUCAGCUAGAACUCACAUCACAGCUGCUCUAUUUACUUACCUACCGGCCGCAUUCCUUAGAACAAGUUUUGUUCAAAAGGAAACCAGGCAGACCUGGGAAAAUAUUUCCUCAGACAGCUCCUCAGCUCUGUUGUCUGAGGAGAACAUCUGACCCACAUGCCCUUCAAGUUGUGCAUCUUCAGCAGGAACGUCACAGGAGUGAUCUGUGUUUUUUUCAUUGCACCCUACCAGGUUUUGGAUCAGAAGCCCGUUUUCUUUAGUGCUGCUCUCUCUCCACCACCCGGCUCUGAGCAGCCUGAGGGCAAACGGAGGGCCUGGGUCUGCAUCAACCCCACAGAACUGGGAUUUGCUCUCUUUCUCCCCAGCCUGCGGGCUUUGGGCACCUCCCUCGUGUCAGGCGCUGAGGCCAUUUUAGGUUCACAGCAGAAUUUAGCAGAAAGCACAGAGCUCCCCAGGCACUCCUGUCUCCCCCACGACCAGCACCCUGCACCAGGCAGGACUGUUCCAUUCGAGGGGACGUCACUGAUAGUACCGUCAUAGUCUGCCUUCAGGUCCGCUCUUGGUUUGCACAUUCUGUGGGUUGUAGGAACUGUGUAAUCCACCAUUACAGUGUCAUACAGAAAUAGUGUCACUACCCCAAAACCUCUCUGCUCCCUGCCUUCACGCUGCCUUUUAUCCUCAAUUUCUUCUUCUUUGGGUCAUCAAGGGGAUAAAAUGCAGUAAUAUACAUGAGUGCCUUGCUUUAGGAGUGUGUUAUUUGUAUCACAUGCCCAUUAAAAGCCCAAGGCCCCUCCCCAGUGGGCCCUGAUUGCUGUGUGUGGUUUACUGCGUGGUACUGGAAGAAGCAAUGUACCGGGUGUUGAGCUCUUUCCAGAGCAGUGAGGUGACAUGUGGCCUCCACUGGUAGCAUGGUUGGCUACUUGGGGAGUGAUAGUGGGAGGAGGCCACGGAGGCACACGGAUUCCAAAGGGACUCCGGACUGUUCCCUGCUCCUGAAGUGACCCAUCCAGCUUCAUACAGGCAGCACUCUGACUGCUCUUGGCAGGGCUUUGGAGAGCCUAUACUCACCACUGUGGCUGGUACAAGGAUGUGGAUCAACAAGGAUGUCACGCAGCAUCAGAUGGGGAAACAUCGGUCAAAUGCAAUACAGAUGAGGACACCGACAACAAGAGAGGCUGAAUAACUUGCCCAUUGCCUCAGGGCUGGAAUCUGAGAUGAGAACCACACUCCUCGCACGACGUCCACCCCGCUGACCGGGGCACUGUGAUGCUUGGGCUUGGAGAAGUCUUUGCUGAAAGUUUCCUGUGCACUGUAGGCUACGCAGCAGAAUCCCUGGCCUCUAUGAGCCCCAAUAUGCCAGUAACAACCACCUCCAGUUGUGACAACUAAAACUGUCUCCAGAGUUUACCAAAUGCUCUCCUGGGGGAAGGAGGCAUCAGCCUAGGUUGAUUUGUCUGCAUUACAUACAUGUUUUCUUUCUCUGAAAGUGAAAAAGUGAAAGUGAUAGUCAUUCAGUCAUGUUUGACUC